UUCGUAGGGUCCGAGCGUUGUCCGGAAUUAUUGGGCGUAAAGAGCUCGUAGGCGGUCUGUUGCGUCGGUUGUGAAAACCUGGGGCUCAACUCCAGGCCUGCAAUCGAUACGGGCAGACUAGAGUUCGGUAGGGGAGACUGGAAUUCCUGGUGUAGCGGUGAAAUGCGCAGAUAUCAGGAGGAACACCGGUGGCGAAGGCGGGUCUCUGGGCCGAAACUGACGCUGAGGAGCGAAAGCGUGGGGAGCGAACAGG
rnacentral:rRNA from 1 species